rnacentral:rRNA from 1 species
UACGGGGGGGGCAAGCGUUGUUCGGAAUUACUGGGCGUAAAGGGCUCGUAGGCGGCCAACUAAGUCAGACGUGAAAUCCCUCGGCUUAACCGGGGAACUGCCUCUGAUACUGGAUGGCUUGAGAUUGGGAGAGGGAUGCCGAAUUCCAGGUGUAGCGGUGAAAUGCGUAGAUAUCUGGAGGAACACCGGUGGCGAAGGCGGCAUCCUGGACCAACACUGACGCUGAGGAGCGAAAGCCAGGGGAGCAAACGGG